CUACGGGAGGCUGCAGUGGGGAAUAUUGGACAAUGGGGGAAACCCUGAUCCAGCAAUGCCGCGUGUGUGAAGAAGGCCUGCGGGUUGUAAAGCACUUUCGGUUGGGAGGACUGCUUCUAGCACUAAUAUUGUUGGAAGUUGACGUUACCUUCAGAAGAAGCACCGGCUAACUCCGUGCCAGCAGCCGCGGUAAUACGGGAGGGUGCAAGCGUUAAUCGGAAUUACUGGGCGUAAAGCGCGCGUAGGCGGCUAGAUCAGUCGGGUGUGAAAGCCCUGGGCUUAACCUGGGAACUGCAUCCGAUACUGUCUAGCUUGAGUACAGGAGAGGGGAGUGGAAUUCCACAUGUAGCGGUGAAAUGCGUAGAUAUGUGGAGGAACACCAAUGGCGAAGGCAGCUCUCUGGCCUGAUACUGACGCUGAGGUGCGAAAGCGUGGGGAGCAAACAGGAUUAGAUACCCUAGUAGUC
rnacentral:rRNA from 1 species